AAGAUUCUGAAAGAGAAGACAGGAUCACUGAGAGAAACUGGGAAGAGCCUCAACAUGAAGAUGAUGAAAAUGGAGACCUUCAUCGUGAUCCACUUCUAAUUAAUGAAUAGGAGGCUUGGGCCGAACUGGGUGAUCAGACAUCAUACACAGAGAAGGAGCAAGAGAGAGAUUACACAGAGGAGGAACAAAGUGCGCAGCGGACAGCCAGUGCCAAGA